rnacentral:rRNA from 1 species
UACAGAGGUCUCAACCGUUGUUCGGAAUUACUGGGCGUAAAGGGCGCGUAGGCGGCCUUGUAAGUCUCGUGUGAAAGCCCUCGGCUUAACUGAGGAUCUGCACGGGAUACUGCGAGGCUUGAGUUCGGGAGAGGAAAGCGGAAUUCCGGGUGUAGCGGUGAAAUGCGUAGAUAUCCGGAGGAACACCAGUGGCGAAGGCGGCUUUCUGGACCGACACUGACGCUGAUGCGCGAAAGCUAGGGGAGCAAACGGG